rnacentral:rRNA from 1 species
AUGAACGCUAGCUACAGGCUUAACACAUGCAAGUCGAGGGGCAGCAUCAUCAAAGCUUGCUUUGAUGGAUGGCGACCGGCGCACGGGUGAGUAACACGUAUCCAACCUGCCGACAACACUGGGAUAGCCUUUCGAAAGAAAGAUUAAUACCGGAUGGCAUAGUUUUCCCGCAUGGGAUAAUUAUUAAAGAAUUUCGGUUGUCGAUGGGGAUGCGUUCCAUUAGGCAGUUGGCGGGGUAACGGCCCACCAAACCUACGAUGGAUAGGGGUUCUGAGAGGAAGGUCCCCCACAUUGGAACUGAGACACGGUCCAAACUCCUACGGGAGGCAGCAGUGAGGAAUAUUGGUCAAUGGACGAGAGUCUGAACCAGCCAAGUAGCGUGAAGGAUGACUGCCCUAUGGGUUGUAAACUUCUUUUAUACGGGAAUAAAGUGAGCCACGUGUGGCUUUUUGUAUGUACCGUAUGAAUAAGGAUCGGCUAACUCCGUGCCAGCAGCCGCGGUAAUACGGAGGAUCCGAGCGUUAUCCGGAUUUAUUGGGUUUAAAGGGAGCGUAGGCGGGUUGUUAAGUCAGUUGUGAAAGUUUGCGGCUCAACCGUAAAAUUGCAGUUGAUACUGGCGACCUUGAGUGCAACAGAGGUAGGCGGAAUUCGUGGUGUAGCGGUGAAAUGCUUAGAUAUCACGAAGAACUCCGAUUGCGAAGGCAGCUUACUGGAUUGUAACUGACGCUGAUGCUCGAAAGUGUGGGUAUCAAACAGGAUUAGGUACCCUGGUAGUCCACACAGUAAACGAUGAAUACUCGCUGUUGGCGAUAUACAGUCAGCGGCCAAGCGAAAGCAUUAAGUAUUCCACCUGGGGAGUACGCCGGCAACGGUGAAACUCAAAGGAAUUGACGGGGGCCCGCACAAGCGGAGGAACAUGUGGUUUAAUUCGAUGAUACGCGAGGAACCUUACCCGGGCUUAAAUUGCAACUGACGGAACCGGAAACGGUUCUUUCUUCGGACAGUUGUGAAGGUGCUGCAUGGUUGUCGUCAGCUCGUGCCGUGAGGUGUCGGCUUAAGUGCCAUAACGAGCGCAACCCUUACGGGUAGUUACCAUCAGGUUAUGCUGGGGACUCUACCCGGACUGCCGUCGUAAGAUGUGAGGAAGGUGGGGAUGACGUCAAAUCAGCACGGCCCUUACGUCCGGGGCUACACACGUGUUACAAUGGGGGGUACAGAAGGCAGCUACACGGCGACGUGGUGCUAAUCCCAAAAGCCUCUCUCAGUUCGGAUUGGAGUCUGCAACCCGACUCCAUGAAGCUGGAUUCGCUAGUAAUCGCGCAUCAGCCACGGCGCGGUGAAUACGUUCCCGGGCCUUGUACACACCGCCCGUCAAGCCAUGAAAGCCGGGGGUACCUGAAGUACGUAACCGCGAGGAGCGUCCUAGGGUAAAACUGGUGAUUGGGGCU